AACUUUCAACAACGGAUCUCUUGGUUCUCGCAUCGAUGAAGAACGCAGCGAAAUGCGAUAAGUAGUGUGAAUUGCAGAACUCAGUGAAUCAUCGAAUCUUUGAACGCACAUUGCGCCUCCCGGUAUUCCGGGAGGCAUGCCUGUUCGAGCGUC
rnacentral:rRNA from 1 species